rnacentral:rRNA from 1 species
CCUACGGGUGGCAGCAGUGGGGAAUAUUGCGCAAUGGGCGAAAGCCUGACGCAGCCACGCCGCGUGAGGGAUGAAGGUCUUCGGAUCGUAAACCUCUGUCAGCAGGGAAGAACGGUCACUGUGCUAAUCAGCAGUUAAUUGACGGUAACUGCAAAGGAAGCAACGGCUAACUCCGUGCCAGCAGCCGCGGUAAUACGGAGGGUGCGAGCGUUAAUCGGAAUUACUGGGCGUAAAGCGCUCGUAGGCGGUAUGUCAAGUCAAGGGUGAAAUCCCCGGGCUUAACGUGGGAACUGCCUUUGAAACUGGCAAACUGGAGUGUGUGAGAGGAUAGUAGAAUUCCAGGUGUAGGAGUGAAAUCCGUAGAGAUCUGGAGGAACAUCAGUGGCGAAGGCGACUAUCUGGCACAUAACUGACGCUGAGGUGCGAAAGCGUGGGUAGCAAACAGGAUUAGAUACCCUUGUAGUC